UACGGGGGGGGGGCAAGCGUUGUUCGGAAUUACUGGGCGUAAAGGGCUCGUAGGCGGCCAACUAAGUCAGACGUGAAAUCCCCCAGGCUUAACCUGGGAACUGCGUCUGAUACUGGAUGGCUUGAGAUUGGGAGAGGGAUGCGGAAUUCCAGGUGUAGCGGUGAAAAUGCGUAGAUAUCGUAAGGAAGACCAGUGGCGAAGGCGGGUCUCUGGACAGUUCCUGACGCUGAGGCACGAAGGCCAGGGGGAGCAAACGGG
rnacentral:rRNA from 1 species